AAUAAAAUGGCUGAGGUUAAGCGAUAAAUUGUAAAUUUAUUUACGAGAUUAAUUCUCUUUUAUUA
rnacentral:tRNA from 1 species